GUCACUUUGCCGGAGUGGUUAACGGGAUCGCCUGCUAUAUGCAGAAUAAGCGGUUGGGCUUUGCCCGCGAGUGUUCGAAUCGCUCAGGUGACG